rnacentral:rRNA from 1 species
GUGGGGUGACGGUCCACCAAGGCGACGACGGGUAGCCGGCCUGAGAGGGCGACCGGCCACACUGGGACUGAGACACGGCCCAGACUCCUACGGGAGGCAGCAGUGGGGAAUAUUGCACAAUGGGCGCAAGCCUGAUGCAGCGACGCCGCGUGAGGGAUGACGGCCUUCGGGUUGUAAACCUCUUUCAGCAGGGAAGAAGCGCGAGUGACGGUACCUGCAGAAGAAGCACCGGCUAACUACGUGCCAGCAGCCGCGGUAAUACGUAGGGUGCGAGCGUUGUCCGGAAUUAUUGGGCGUAAAGAGCUCGUAGGCGGCCUGUCGCGUCGGAUGUGAAAGCCCGGGGCUUAACCCCGGGUCUGCAUUCGAUACGGGCAGGCUAGAGUUCGGUAGGGGAGACUGGAAUUCCUGGUGUAGCGGUGAAAUGCGCAGAUAUCAGGAGGAACACCGGUGGCGAAGGCGGGUCUCUGGGCAGUAACUGACGCUGAGGAACGAAAGCGUGGGUAGCGAACAGGAUUAGAUACCCUGGUAGUCCGCGCCGUAAACGGUGGGCGCUAGGUGUGGGUUCCUUCCACGGAAUCCGUGCCGUAGCUAACGCAUUAAGCG